rnacentral:misc_RNA from 1 species
GUGAAUCAUCAAAUUUUUGAACGCAAAUUGCACUCUCUGCGGUGAGUAUGCCCGUUUGAGGGUCAGCCUAAAAAAAAUCGACAUAGUUGCUGUUUCGCGGUGACAUUUGUCGGAUAUUGGGUCAUCUUAAACCUUUGGGUUAUAAGCGGCUUAAAAUCUUCUUUACGAUUCCACGAACGAUUCUAAGAUUUACUUCUUACGUUUAAGUCAGUGAUUUUUAUUAGACGUGCCCGUUGCAUCGUGUA